UUAGAUCAAACACAUUUACACCAGAAGCAUACAUCAUUAAUGCUGCAGAAAACUAAUCCCUCAAAUUUACAUUACACCACAAAAUUCUAACAACAAUUUGUGGGCUCACAAUUAAUAUCCCAAGCUCAUUUUCCGGGUACGAAGUUCGUGGCGAAGGCCCACGCGUUGUUGUUAACCGGGUCCGCAAGGUGGUCGGCGAGGUUCUCCAACGGCCCCUUUCCGGUAACAAUCGCCUGAACAAAGAAUCCGAACAUCGAGAACAUCGCAAGUCUCCCAUUCUUUAGCUCCUUCACCUUCAGCUCAGCAAAAGCUUCCGGGUCCUCAGCGAGGCCCAACGGGUCGAAGCUCCCACCCGGGUAAAGCGGGUCGACAACCUCACCGAGUGGCCCACCGGCAAUUCUGUAGCCCUCAAUAGCUCCCAUCAACACAACCUGGACACCCCAGAUGGCCAGUAUGCUCUGUGCGUGGACCAAGCUAGGGUUUCCCAAAUAAUCGAGCCCACCCUCACUGAAUAUCUGCGAUCCGGCCU
rnacentral:lncRNA from 1 species